GUGUUCACUUUGCCAGCACAUAUACUAAAAUUGGUACAAUACAGAGAUUAGCAUGGCCUCUGUGCAAGGGUGACAAGCAAAUUCAUGAAGUGUUCCAGAUAUUU
rnacentral:snRNA from 1 species